rnacentral:rRNA from 1 species
GCCUACGGGGCGCAGCAGUGGGGAAUAUUGCACAAUGGGGGAAACCCUGAUGCAGCGACGCCGCGUGAGUGAAGAAGUAUCUCGGUACGUAAAGCUCUAUCAGCAGGGAAGAAAAAAAGUCUUUGGCUUUGGACGGUACCUGACUAAGAAGCCCCGGCUAACUACGUGCCAGCAGCCGCGGUAAUACGUAGGGGGCAAGCGUUAUCCGGAUUUACUGGGUGUAAAGGGAGCGUAGACAGCAGCGCAAGUCUGGAGUGAAAUGCCGGGGCUCAACCCCGGACCUGCUUUGGAAACUGUGCAGCUAG